GACGAACGCUGGCGGCGUGCUUAACACAUGCAAGUCGAACGAAAAGAGGGAAAGAGCUUGCUCUUUCCGGAAUUGAGUGGCAAACGGGUGAGUAACACGUAAACAACCUGCCUUCAGGAUGGGGACAACAGACGGAAACGACUGCUAAUACCGAAUAAGUUCCAAGGGCCGCAUGGCCCAUGGAAGAAAAGGUGGCCUCUACCUGUAAGCUAUCGCCUGAAGAGGGGUUUGCGUCUGAUUAGCUGGUUGGAGGGGUAACGGCCCACCAAGGCGACGAUCAGUAGCCGGUCGGAGAGGAUGAACGGCCACACUGGAACUGAGACACGGUCCAGACUCCUACGGGAGGCAGCAGUGGGGAAUCUUCCGCAAUGGGCGAAAGCCUGACGGAGCAACGCCGCGUGAGUGAUGACGGCCUUCGGGUUGUAAAACUCUGUGAUCCGGGACGAAAAGGCAGAGUGCGAAGAACAAACUACAUUGACGGUACCGGAAAAGCAAGCCACGGCUAACUACGUG
rnacentral:rRNA from 1 species